UACGUAGGGAGCAAGCGUUGUCCGGAAUCAUUGGGCGUAAAGCGCGCGUAGGCGGCCCUGUAAGUCCGUUGUGAAAGUCAAAGGCUCAACCUUUGAAAGCCGAUGGAUACUGCAGGGCUAGAGUCCGGAAGAGGCGAGUGGAAUUCCUGGUGUAGCGGUGGAAUGCGCAGAUAUCAGGAGGAACACCGGUGGCGAAGGCGGAUCUCUGGGCCUUACCUGACGCUGAGGCGCGAAAGCUAGGGGAGCGAACAGG
rnacentral:rRNA from 1 species